GCUGGCGGCAUGCCUCAUACAUGCAAGUCGAACGAAGUCUUCGGACUUAGUGGCGCACGGGUGAGUAACAUGUGGGAAUCUACCUAAAGGUUCGGAAUAACUGCGGGAAACUGUAGCUAAUACCGGAUGUGUCUGCAAAGAGAAAGAUUUAUCGCCUUUAGAUGAGCCCGCACUAGAUUAGUUUGUUGGUGAGGUAACUGCUCCACCAAGACUACGAUCUAUAGCUGAUUUGAGAGGAUGAUCAGCCACACUGGGACUGAGACACGGCCCAGACUCCUACGGGAGGCAGCAGUAGGGAAUAUUGGACAAUGGGGGAAACCCUGAUCCAGCAAUGCCGCGUGAGUGAAGAAGGCCUUCGGGUUGUAAAACUCUUUCAUCAAUGAUGAUAAUGACAUUAGUUGAAGAAGAAGCUCCGGCUAACUUCGUGCCAGCAGCCGCGGUAAUACGAAGGGGGCUAGCGUUGUUCGGAAUCACUGGGCGUAAAGCGUAUGUAGGCGGAUCAAAAAGUUAGAUGUGAAAUCCCUGAGCUCAACUCAGGAACUGCAUUUAAAACUAGUGAUCUAGAAUUUGGUAAGGGUUAGUAGAAUUUCCAGUGUAGAGGUGAAAUUCGUAGAUAUUGGAAAGAAUACCAGAAGCGAAGGCGACUAACUAGGCCAUUUUUGACGCUGAGAUACGAAAGCGUGGGUAGCAAACAGGAUUAGAUACCCUGGUAGUCCACGCAGUAAACGAUGAGUGCUAGUCGCUGGGACAAUAGUUUCAGUGUCGUAGCUAACGCAUUAAGCACUCCGCCUGGGAAGUACGGUCGCAGAAGAUAAACUAAAUGGAAUGCG
rnacentral:rRNA from 1 species